rnacentral:rRNA from 1 species
UACGGGGGGAGCAAGCGUUGUUCGGAUUUACUGGGCGUAAAGGGCGCGUAGGCGGCCACCGCAAGUCGACUGUGAAAUCUCCGGGCUUAACCCGGAAAGGUCAGCCGAUACUGCGGGGCUAGAGUGCAGAAGGGGCAACUGGAAUUCUUGGUGUAGCGGUGAAAUGCGUAGAUAUCAAGAGGAACACCUGCGGCGAAGGCGGGUUGCUGGGCCGACACUGACGCUGAGGCGCGAAAGCCAGGGGAGCGAACGGG